rnacentral:rRNA from 1 species
CUACGUGCCAGCAGCCGCGGUAAUACGUAUGUCACAAGCGUUAUCCGGAUUUAUUGGGCGUAAAGCGCGUCUAGGUGGUUAUGUAAGUCUGAUGUGAAAAUGCAGGGCUCAACUCUGUAUUGCGUUGGAAACUGCAUGACUAGAGUACUGGAGAGGUAAGCGGAACUACAAGUGUAGAGGUGAAAUUCGUAGAUAUUUGUAGGAAUGCCGAUGGGGAAGCCAGCUUACUGGACAGAUACUGACGCUAAAGCGCGAAAGCGUGGGUAGCAAACAGGAUUAGAUACCCUGGUAGUCCACGCCGUAAACGAUGAUUACUAGGUGUUGGGGGUCGAACCUCAGCGCCCAAGCUAACGCGAUAAGUAUCCCACCUGGGGAGUACGCACGCAAGUGUGAAACUCAAAGGAAUUGACGGGGGCCCGCACAAGCGGUGGAGCAUGUGGUUUAAUUCGAUGCAACGCGAAGAACCUUACCUACUCUUGACAUCCAGA